rnacentral:sRNA from 1 species
ACCCCGGUAUUAUUGCUGUUAUGGGUUUGAUUCGAGCUUAGCCUUGUUCAUUUUUUUACACAACACCCCCGUAAAAAAUACAACACGGCCCGCUCAAGCCUGCGGGCGUCAAACGGCUUCGGGGGAUGAAAACGCCCCAAAGAGCCUCAAAAAAGCCAUGCGAGCGCUUUUUUAGGGCAA